rnacentral:rRNA from 1 species
UACGGGGGGGGCAAGCGUUGUUCGGAAUUACUGGGCGUAAAGGGCUCGUAGGCGGCCAACUAAGUCAGACGUGAAAUCCCUCGGCUUAACCGGGGAACUGCAUCUGAUACUGGAUGGCUUGAGUUCGGGAGAGGGAUGCGGAAUUCCAGGUGUAGCGGUGAAAUGCGUAGAUAUCUGGAGGAACACCGGUGGCGAAGGCGGCGUUCUGGACUGCUACUGACACUGAGGAACGAAAGCCAGGGGAGCAAACGGG